UUCAAAUAUUUAUCUCUUUCUCUUCUUCUCUCUCUCUCUCAGUUUCUCUGCAAUUACUGUGUAUAGUUGGGAAAUGAUGAAGACAACAAAUAACAACACCCAUUAGAUCAAUGACAAGAGAAGGCUUGCGACGGCGGCAACCACCACCAGCACCACUGAAUUCAUAACGGCGCUCAAUAUUGUCGACAUGCAGACCUCCACCAGGCAUGUUCUAAUUCUGUUUUGGUGGAUUUGUAUUACAAAAUUCUCUCAUACCUUUAAAGGUUAAUUCUUUGAAUUGUAAAAUAUAUUUACAGUAACUGAUGUUCUUCUUUUAUUUCAAUUAUUGGUAAAGAUUUCAAAUUUUGGCUUUAAGAGGUUCAUUUAUUUGUUUUGUUAGUUUGCUCUGCUAUCAUCCAACUAACUUUGUAAUUAAUUGGGUUGUUUAAUUGGGUUCUAAUUUUUUAUUAUAUACAUAUUCAUGGAUGUCCUGUAGUUAUUUCUGUUACCAAGUAAAAAUUAAAAAAAGUGUUUUUCAGAUGA